rnacentral:rRNA from 1 species
GUCUACGGCCAUGCCACCCUGAACAAGCCCGAUCUCAUCUGAUCUCAGAAGCUAAGCAGAGUCGGGCCUGGUUAGUACUUGGAUGGGAGACCACCUAGGAAGACCAGGCGCUAUAGGCG